CCGCCGCGGGGCUCCAGCCCGGGACCCCAGCCCGGGACCCCGGGGUCACGGCCUGGGCGGGCGCCUCGCGGCUCCGGGCUCUGAAGAGGCCACGUGACGCUCAGGCCGCGGCGCGUCCCUGUCAAGUCAACGCGGAGGGUGCGCGCUUAGCCGCAGACGGCAACUAUGCUGCAGGGAAACAGAAGUGGGAAAGGACCGGCGGGCCGAGGCCAGGUCCCGUGGGGCUUUUAAAAGACUCGUGGGUGUGCUUCGAGUACAGUAGGAAGCUGUUGCGGGUGUGCCGCGUCGAGCGGCGUCUUCGAGAAGCAGGUCCUCCGAGCGCAGGUGCGCCCAGCAGCUGUGUCCUGGCAGCCAAACCUGCCCACUUCCUGCUUCGGGGGGGCCUGCGAGCCAACAGCGAGAGUGGUUCUUAGGUUCUCAAGCGGUAGGGAAAAAGCAGAGUCUCCUGUGACAGGGGAAAAAUUUAUGAAACUCAGACGUUGGUCUCCCUAAUUAAAGCUUCAUCGGAACAGUCACGGCCCGCUGGGCCCGCACCAGCUGUGAGUGGCCGCUGUCACCUUGCAGUAGCACAACUGGGGACUUGUGACAAAGGCCAGAUGUCUCUCAACUCAAUACCUAAAACGUGUGCGCCCCGCCCGUUCACAGAAGAAGUUUGUGAUGUGUGCAGACUAGGGAGGGAAGUGAGAACCUCAGGCGUACCAGAAGGCAGUCCAUCAUGCUGGCCGGGUUACAGAGAGGGAUUUGGACGGAGGUGGGUCGAGUGGACACAGAGUGAAGAGCGUGGAGGUGGGGUCGGCAGCCGCAGGGAAGAUGAUCCCCAGGUGUUUGUGCUGAACUUGACGUGACGGCACAUACGGCUUACUGUUCUCCAGGCCCUCUCUCCGUGCUUCAUCAGUCGUCGUGACGCUGCUGCUGCUCUUGUGCCCAUUUUAUACAUAAGGCUUGAGAGGCUGAGGACGUUUGACCGGCCCAGAACCACAGCAGGGCAAUAGGAGCUGUGUUUGGACCUGGGCAGGCCAACAUGAAGUCAGUUGUCUCCAGUCCAUGAUGGAUGAGCAAUCAACAUUUCAUAAAGGAAGGAGUGGUCUUAUAGAGGUUAUCGAGAAUGCAUGACAGGAUGUGUAAUAACGUGUCGACGUUAAAAAAAAAAAAAAAGUGCUCUCUUCUGUGAGUUAACUGGGCUAAUCUCUUCAAAUAU